rnacentral:rRNA from 1 species
CACAAGCGGUGGAGUAUGUGGUUUAAUUCGAUGCAACGCGAAGAACCUACCUGGCCUUGACAUCCCGGGAAUUUCCUGGAAACAGGAGAGUGCUUCAUUAGAGAGAACCUGGAGACAGGUGCUGCAUGGCUGUCGUCAGCUCGUGUCGUGAGAUGUUGGGUUAAGUCCCGCAACGAGCGCAACCCUUGCCUUUAGUUGCCAGCAGUUCGGCUGGGCACUCUAAAGGGACUGCCGGUGUCAAACCGGAGGAAGGUGGGGAUGACGUCAAGUCCUCAUGGCCUUUAUGGCCAGGGCUACACACGUACUACAAUGGCCGGUACAAAGGGCAGCGACAUUGCGAGAUGGAGCGAAUCCCGAAAAGCCGGUCUCAGUCCGGAUUGGGGUCUGCAACUCGACUCCAUGAAGUUGGAAUCGCUAGUAAUCGUGGAUCAGCAUGCCACGGUGAAUACGUUCCCGGGCCUU